AUCCUACGGGGGGCAGCAGUAGGGAAUCUUCCACAAUGGACGAAAGUCUGAUGGAGCAACGCCGCGUGAGUGAAGAAGGGUUUCGGCUCGUAAAGCUCUGUUGGUAGUGAAGAAAGAUAGAGGUAGUAACUGGCCUUUAUUUGACGGUAAUUACUUAGAAAGUCACGGCUAACUACGUGCCAGCAGCCGCGGUAAUACGUAGGUGGCAAGCGUUGUCCGGAUUUAUUGGGCGUAAAGCGAGUGCAGGCGGUUCUAUAAAUCUGGUGUGUAAGCCCUCUGCUCCACCCG
rnacentral:rRNA from 1 species